GCGAGUGUGGCGGAAUCGGCAGACGCAACGGACUUAAAAUCCGUCGGGACUUAUCUCCCGUACCAGUUCAAGUCUGGUCACUCGCACCA
rnacentral:tRNA from 1 species